CAGGGUGUAGCUCAGCUUGGUAGAGCGUCUGGUUUGGGUCCAGAAGGCCGCAGGUUCAAAUCCUGUCACCCUGA
rnacentral:tRNA from 2 species